CCUGACGCAGCGACGCCGCGUGGGGGAGGAAGGCCUUCGGGUUGUAAACCCCUUUCAGAUGGGACGAAGCUUCGAGGGUUAAUAGCUCUCUGGAGUGACGGUACCUUCAGAAGAAGCCCCGGCUAACUACGUGCCAGCAGCCGCGGUAAUACGUAGGGGGCAAGCGUUGUCCGGAAUCAUUGGGCGUAAAGCGCGUGUAGGCGGUCCGGUAAGUCCGCUGUGAAAGUCGGGGGCUCAACCCUCGGAUGCCGGUGGAUACUGUCGGGCUUGAGUACGGAAGAGGCGAGUGGAAUUCCUGGUGUAGCGGUGAAAUGCGCAGAUAUCAGGAGGAACACCAAUUGCGAAGGCAGCUCGCUGGGACGUUACUGACGCUGAGACGCGAAAGCGUGGGGAGCAAACAGGAUUAGAUACCCUGGUAGUCCACGCUGUAAACGAUGGGCACUAGGUGUGGGGGGUGUCGACUCCCUCCGUGCCGAAGCUAACGCAUUAAGUGCCCCGCCUGGGGAGUACGGCCGCAAGGCUAAAACUCAAAGGAAUUGACGG
rnacentral:rRNA from 1 species